rnacentral:lncRNA from 1 species
AGAGUUGCGGCAGCACAGGCUUUGCUUGGAGUUGGAUGGUUCGCACCCUGCUUGGCAUGGUUUCUAAGAGACAUCCUCUGAGUGGAUGAGGGGAGAAUCCAGCAGGCCUCUAGUCACACUGGAGAAAAACAAGGAGAGAAAAAUCUAAACCCAGCAGAAGAGAAAGUUUAAGAAAGCGGUCGUCGCCAAUACCAAAAUUAGCUAUGAUAUUCAGGAAGAAAAAAAUGGAAACACGAUAACCACAGUCAAUAAAGACCAAGGCCACAUUCCAUUGACCAGAGCUCAGCCACGCGCCACACCUGGCUAAAGAGACUCUGGCUGAAGAAUUCCCUGAAUAUUUUAAUGUAGCUCUAGGUUAUAACACAGAACAACCACAAGGUGGCAGAAGAACUCCAUUCUUGUAAAUCUCUUAGUUGCUUCUUUAUUUCAUCUUCCCUAUUCCAUCUAAUGUUCCCUGAAUUUUACUAUUUUGUUGGUUUGAAAAUAUGUGUGACUUACGUCCUUUAAAGGAUUUGGUUCGUAAGGUUUUGAAUAGACUGGAAUAUAAAACAUUUAUAGAAAAGAAAAAUACCUACAGUAUGAUGUUAGUGAACUAUUAAUAAUCCAAUUAAAUAAAAUAUAUUUGCUUUGGAUUAAUACAUAUUUUGUUUUGAUGUUUGCUAAAUAAAACUAAGCAUUAGGAGGCCAAAUAGCCACAAUGAACAUUUUCAUAUUAUUUAAUAAGCCAGUUUCAAGGCAUACAUGCUAAAUUUGUUCUUAAGGAAAAGUUGAAUUUUUGCUUUCAUGAAAUUACAAACUCUAAGGCAAUUUUACACGUGUAAAUCCAAUGUGUUCUGAAGUUUAAAGUGUCAAAGGCUGUUGGAUUUAAACAGAUCUUGUAUGACUCUCUGUUUCAUCUCUUCAGAGGUUGAUAGUAAGCAACUUUGGCAGCAACUCACAGCUUCUGCUGUAACAUGAGGCUAAUAAUGACGACUUUAUAAGGUUGUUGCAAAGAGUCAGGGAUGCCACAAGCAACGUUCUUUAUAUAUGCAGAAUUUUAAAAAUAAAGUAAAUAAAAAUAUUCCUUCCUCUAUUCCCCAUUUUUCUAACAUUAUUUGCAACUGGUGUUUUAAUGCAAGACCAAAGGCUAAAAUAUACAUGUAGCUAGCAGAAUCAAAACCUAGAUCAGAUGUUCAAAAGCAUCAUGCUGCUAAAAGAUUUCAGAGUCUAAAACCUGUGCUCACUCUUCUGAAACAUCUUUCCACUUCCUGUUUAAAAAAAAACGUGAUAUUCUUUGAAGCUCAUUUUUUGGGCUUCAUGUGUUGUAAUUAUACAUUUGUUAUAUAGGGUAUAUGAUGACUUACGCUCUAAGGUAUUAUUCAGUACAUUGUAGAAAAAGGAGAAUAAAGAAUGUUGUUUGUCAGUAGGCAGCUCUGUCCUCUUUAUCCUUGACUGUAAUUUACUAAAGAGCUGACAAAAUUACAGCACAGGCAGCAAUUCACCAUAUUACCCUGCAGACAGCCAAGAGACUGACAUUGAGAUGAUGCGUUUUAACUUGGGUCCAUGUAAGGAACCUGAUGGGGUUAUAUGAAUUCUUUUCUGUACUAUGAAAAAAUGAAGUUGCUAAUAAGAAGGAGGUACAAAAGUGUGUACUCUGCGCAAGGCUACUGAUAAAGAUGCUACAGGGAUGCGUGGAAACCCAAUAUGUAACACUGAAAUGGCUUUUGAUUCAUUUGUAUUUGGUCUCAGACAAGAAAAUAGAUUAAGAAAAGGUCUGAAAAAAUGGAGCACUAGGAAAAAUGAUAGGAAAUUUUGUGUUGUUGAUAGUUAUCUAAUAUGAAAUACACGUUUGUAAUAUUUUGACAUAUAUGAUUUAAUACAACUAUAUUUUGUAAUAAAUAUCUUUAAUUCUAAGGAUUGAAAAUCUUAAAAGGAUCUAAAUUUUAUAGUUAUAGCUGUUUUGUUUCAAUAGGCUGAUGGACUUGGAAAUUCCAGGUUUCUUAAACAUAUUCGAUGAACUUGAAAAGCAGGGGGAGAUACUUUCAGAUGGCCUUGAAUGGGAGCGGGGGGACCCUGGAUUUCACUGGACACAUCUUUCUUCCUUUCUUCUCUGUAGUUUGGGACCUCUUCUUCUCAACUAGUCAGCAAUUAUAAGAAUGAAAAUUACCAGCCGGGCGCGAUGGCUCACGCCUGUAAUCCCAGCCCUUUGGGAGGCCAAGGCGGGGGGAUCACGAGGUCAGAAGAUCGAGACCAUCCUGGCUAACACGGUGAAACCCCGUCUCUACUAAAAAAUACAAAGAAUCAGCCGGGCAUGGUGGCGGGUGCCUGUAGUCCCAGCUACUCAGGAGACUGAGGCAGGAGAAUGGUGUGAAUC